GUUUGAUUUUUCGAAGAAAUGGUUAGGCUUUCCCAGAUGGUGCAGGGAUCGGGAUUUCAGGAGGACACAAUAUUAAUUAAAAAGAAUUGUGAAUAUAUUGCAGGAUGCUCCUGCUGCUGAACUUCUAAAGGAGGAAUUUGUCCAUCUUCCUUGCCUGGGGGGGACCAUCCUCCAGGACUCUUCCCAAUGUCCCACUCCUUGUUUGGGUUCCGUCAUAUAUCGCCACCUCUACUUUAUGUUGCUGAAGUGAAAGAAGCAUACUGGGCGAUCCAUCUUGUUCGCAGGAAAACCCCGGGGGCUAUGGAGAAGGCUCAGCAUCCAGCUCUGAGCUCAAUUAGCACAAAUCUCAUUCUAUAAAUUAGACCACGUUGCAGAGAAAGGAGAAAAUGCGGCUCCUUGACAGGGGGGGAGAGAGAGAGAGAGAAAUGCUUUGGGACAGUUGCCUUGAGAAAGGCUGGGAGGGGGGUUAUGCAGCCCCCCCCCCCGCUGCAGGAGGACAAGGGGCUCCCAACCACGCUCCAAACCGCCCUUUGCCUCAUGGCGGGUUCCGACGCUGAGCAGAGCCCAAGGUGGCAGCAACAGAUACGGGCAACGUCAGCCUCUGCUCCAGUGUCUGCAGCUCAGACGUGAGCCUUCCCUGGAAGGAAAGCAACUCUUCUUGCUCGAGCGAACCAAAUCAUGAGCUUUUAUUUCCCCCUUCAAUGACUCAGAGGAUAGUUCUAAAAAUAUGUUAUUUUCCAAGGCAGUUCCGGCACUAGACAGCCCUCGGGAGGUGCACCGAUAGCAGCUCAGACGCUGGGGAGCCGUCAGGAGAGCACCUCUGGGGUGUAUCCCUGCAGAAUGACUUAUGUCCAUUAUAAGUGACACAAAUCCCUUCCCCAGUCUCCACCACAGCGCGACGUGCACCAACACCUCUGGUGAGGCCAGGUUCCCAGGAAAACACCACCAGCUCAUGGAUUUGGAAAUGCUUGGUGUUAACAGAUUGAUAGAGCUGGUAUUUUCCUGCAGGUGAUGUGGGAAAGCAGAUGUGAUUCGGACCCUGGUGGUUGUUGUACGCCUCUUAAUGACCCCAUCUACAGCUGAGGCCUCACCCCCACUUGUGCCUGGUGAGAGGGGAAGGGGGUGCACCGGUUCCAUGGCACAGAAGCGGUGGGAGUA
rnacentral:lncRNA from 1 species